UACGUAGGGUGCGAGCGUUGUCCGGAAUUACUGGGCGUAAAGAGCUCGUAGGUGGUUUGUCGCGUUGUCCGUGAAAACUCACAACUCAAUUGUGGGCGUGCGGGCGAUACGGGCAGACUGGAGUACUGCAGGGGAGACUGGAAUUCCUGGUGUAGCGGUGGAAUGCGCAGAUAUCAGGAGGAACACCGGUGGCGAAGGCGGUUCUCUGGGCCUGUACUGACGCUGAGGAGCGAAAGCGUGGGGAGCGAACAGG
rnacentral:rRNA from 1 species